rnacentral:tRNA from 1 species
GGGAAGAUGGCUCAGUGGUAGAGCGCUUGCCUUGCAUGCACGAAAAAACAAUGUCUUAGGGUUUUUUUUUUUUCUUUUCU